UACGUAGGGGGCUAGCGUUGUCCGGAAUCAUUGGGCGUAAAGGGCGCGUAGGCGGCCAAUCAAGUCGGAGGUGAAAGCCCAGGGCUCAACCCUGGAAUUGCCUUCGAUACUGUUUGGCUCGAGACCGGAAGAGGUAAGUGGAACUGCGAGUGUAGAGGUGAAAUUCGUAGAUAUUCGCAAGAACACCAGUGGCGAAGGCGGCUUACUGGUCCGGUUCUGACGCUGAGGCGCGAAAGCGUGGGGAGCAAACAGG
rnacentral:rRNA from 1 species